ACCUGGCUGGCUUAGUUGGUAGAGCAUGGGAAUCUUAAUUUUGGGGUUAUGAGUUCAAGCCCUAUGUUAGGUG
rnacentral:tRNA from 1 species